AAAUAUAAUGAUUUUACUGUUAUGAAACCCUACCAAAGCCGAUGUGUGCAUAGCCAAGUCGUGCAUGCUUGACUCUGGUUAGGAACAUUAUCACACUCUGUGUAAGACAUCCAGCUACCAUAGUUGUAUGUCCAAGGGUUGAGUGUGACAAACAUUUUAGCAAAGCUUCAUUUUAAACAUAAAUAAAUCUAUUGUAUUUGCUAAUAUCUUCACUAUUGUUGACAGGUUCAGGGCAAGAUUACAUGAAGGAGGCUGUGUAAGAUACACUAAAAAGAUUUGAAAAGUAUACAUACAGGCAAAAUGGCACCAUAUACAAAACCGCAUAAAAUAUGAUGUUUGGCUAUGAAAAAUAUUUGUGCAAGAAACCCAAAAGGAAUUACUUGGAAGUGCAGCCUACCUAUUUAAUUUGAAAUGGAAUCUUACCAAAAGACACCAUGGACAGAAGAAAACUCACAUUCUAUGGACUUAUCAUCAAUCGAAUUAAUUCUAGAAUGGCUAAUAAAGGAGCAAAUCUUUCCUCAGGUGCCAAAUUGCAAUAGAAGAAAAACAAGUUUUGAAGAUGGAGAGCUAACAUUAAGAUGUGCAAUGUGGCCACCAUAGCAGCCUUUGAAGAUGCAGGUGAAACUCCCACUGAUACAAUCUGGCAGAAAUGAAUAAACUUGUGUGGCUGUUUACUUAUUAAAGAUUUCGGAACUUGCAAAAAGGCAAAGAACAAAUCUUCAAAGAAUAAGAUUUGCAGUAGUCCACAUGGAGUCACAUGGGGAGCAACUCUAAUCUCAAUCCUAUCGAACAUAAUAGGGUUGAACUUAAAAGGCAUGUGGGCAAGAAGUCCAGCUCACACACAUCAAGAGUGGAACUAUACCACAAGAGUUCAUCAUUAAGUUAAUACAGUCCAUGAAAAACCGUUUAAGAAUUGUAAUUAAAGCUAAAGGGAAUAAGAUUAAUAAAGAUGUUAUCGAAAAUUU